rnacentral:rRNA from 1 species
GAUGAACGCUGGCGGCGUGCCUAAUACAUGCAAGUCGAACGAGGCCCUUUGUAUUCGUAUGAAGGUGUCCUAGUGGCGAACGGGUGAGUAACACGUAGGUAACCUACCCCGAAGAGGGGGAUAACCCCGGGAAACUGGGGCUAAUACCCCAUGUGCUCCAAGGUAUUAGAUGACCAUGGAGUAAAGGAGUAAUCCGCUUUGGGAGGGGCCUGCGGCCCAUCAGCUAGUUGGUAGGGUAAUGGCCUACCAAGGCUAUGACGGGUAGGGGGCCUGAGAGGGUGGUCCCCCACACUGACACUGAAACACGGGGUCAGACACCUACGGGUGGCAGCAGUAGGGAAUAUUGCACAAUAGGCGAAAGCCUGAUGCAGCAACGCCGCGUGCGCGAUGAAGGCCUUAGGGUUGUAAAGCGCUUUUCUGGGGGACGAGAAAGGACGGUACCCCAGGAAUAAGUCUCGGCUAACUACGUG